rnacentral:lncRNA from 1 species
CUUAAGUGCAGUGAGGGCAAGGGAAGGGACCUGAAUGUUCCAGUUUCAGACACGAAAAGAAGCACAAGAACGAUGACUUUCUGAUGUUUGUUUUGGCCCUACUUUGCUGCUGAGUUUCUGGGCAUUUGAAUUUAAUCUUUUGCUUUUCCCUCCUAGGUGUGUAGCAGCAUGUCUGCAAUCACAGAUAUUCUAGAAAAGGAAAGAAGAAGAAACAAUACAUAGCUCUGAAUAUUUAUCUCAAGGAAAAAGGCUCGAAGUCUUGCACCCUGCCAUUCCUCCUAUUUCGGGGGCUGACCAUGCUGCCACACAGCUAUGGAAGAGAAAUGUGAGAAUAAGGAUCAGAGAAACAAGAGACAGCAGACACCUUCAGCAAGGUGAAUGUGUUCCUAUUUUUCAGAAGCAGUGCAAAAAAUAAAUAAAGAAAUCCAGAUGCUUCUGGAUGAAAAAGUAACAGCAGCAAGAUACAGCUACCAGAGGCUGGCCGAGUCUGAGUAAGUGCUACCAAAACAUCUGAUGCAUGCUAUGAUGCUAAAACUGGUUGUUGCCCCAAGAAGUUUACAAUCAAGAGGACACCUGCUGUAAUAAAGGAUCAUACUGGCAAACA